GGGGAACCCGGUGAGAGUCCGGGGCUGACGCGCAGCGGUGUGGGACGGCUGGAGGCCGACCCGAGCCCGAAUGCCC
rnacentral:ncRNA from 2 species